rnacentral:rRNA from 1 species
AACGAACGCUGGCGGCAUGCCUAACACAUGCAAGUCGAACGAUUGCCUUCGGGUGAUAGUGGCGCACGGGUGCGUAACGCGUGGGAAUCUGCCCUUAGGUUCGGAAUAACAGCUGGAAACGGCUGCUAAUACCGGAUGAUAUCGCGAGAUCAAAGAUUAUCGCCUGAGGAUGAGCCCGCGUUGGAUUAGGUAGUUGGUGGGGUAAAGGCCUACCAAGCCGACGAUCCAUAGCUGGUCUGAGAGGAUGAUCAGCCACACUGGGACUGAGACACGGCCCAGACUCCUACGGGAGGCAGCAGUGGGGAAUAUUGGACAAUGGGCGCAAGCCUGAUCCAGCAAUGCCGCGUGAGUGAUGAAGGCCCUAGGGUUGUAAAGCUCUUUUACCCGGGAAGAUAAUGACUGUACCGGGAGAAUAAGCCCCGGCUAACUCCGUG